rnacentral:rRNA from 1 species
UACGAAGGGUGCGAGCGUUAUUCGGAAUUAUUGGGCGUAAAGGGUGUGUAGACGGCAUAUCAAGUCUGUCGCUAAAUUUCCCGGCUUAACCGGGAGCAAGUGAUGGAAACUGAUGUGCUAGAGGGUGGAAGAGAAAAGUGGAAUUCUCGGAGUUAGCGGUAAAAUGCACAGAUCUCGAGAGGAACACCAAUGGCGAAGGCAGCUUUUUGGUCCACUCCUGACGUUGAGACACGAAAGCGUGGGGAGCAAACAGG